UGGGGAAUAUUGCGCAAUGGGCGAAAGCCUGACGCAGCAACGCCGCGUGAGUGAAGAAGGCCUUCGGGUUGUAAAGCUCUUUCGGCUGGGAAGAAGGGUAUAAAUGUGAAUAAUGUUUAUAUUUGAUGGUACCAGAAGAAGAAGCACCGGCAAACUUCGUGCCAGCAGCCGCGGUAAUACGAAGGGUGCAAGCGUUGUUCGGAAUUAUUGGGCGUAAAGGGUUCGUAGGCGGUAUUGUAAGUCAAGUGUGAAAUCCCCGAGCUUAACUUGGGACGUGCACUUGAAACUGUGAUUCUUGAGACAUAGAGAGGGUGGUGGAAUUGUUGGUGUAGGAGUGACAUCCGUAGAGAUCAACAGGAACAUCAGAGGCGAAAGCGGCCACCUGGCUAUGUACUGACGCUGAGGAACGAAAGCGUGGGGAGCAAACA
rnacentral:rRNA from 1 species